rnacentral:rRNA from 1 species
CGUAUCCAACCUGCCACCACUUGGGAAUAACCUUGCGAAAGUUAAGACUAAUGCCCAAUGACGUUGAAAGAAGACAUCUGAUUUCAACUAAGAUUUAUCGGUGAUGGAUGGGGAUGCGUCCGAUUAGCUUGUUGGCGGGGUAACGGCCCACCAAGGCAACGAUCGGUAGGGGUUCUGAGAGGAAGGUCCCCCACAUUGGAACUGAGACACGGUCCAAACUCCUACGGGAGGCAGCAGUGAGGAAUAUUGGUCAAUGGGCGAGAGCCUGAACCAGCCAAGUAGCGUGCAGGAUGACGGCCCUAUGGGUUGUAAACUGCUUUUAUAAGGGAAUAAAGUGGGGCUCGUGAGCUCUUUUGCAUGUACCUUAUGAAUAAGGACCGGCUAAUUCCGUG